rnacentral:rRNA from 1 species
UAGGGAAUAUUGGACAAUGGGUGCAAGCCUGAUCCAGCCAUGCCGCGUGCAGGAAGAAGGCCUUCUGGGUUGUAAACUGCUUUUUGCCAGGGGAUAAAAUUUCUUUGCGAAGAAAAUUGAAGGUACCUGGUGAAUAAGCCACGGCUAACUACGUGCCAGCAGCCGCGGUAAUACGUAGGUGGCAAGCGUUGUCCGGAUUUAUUGGGUUUAAAGGGUGCGUAGGCGGUUCCAUAAGUCAGUGGUGAAAUACAAUAGCUUAACUAUUGAGGUGCCAUUGAUACUGCGGAACUUGAGUACAGACGAGGUAGGCGGAAUUGACGGUGUAGCGGUGAAAUGCUUAGAUAUCGUCAAGAACACCGAUAGCGAAGGCAGCUUACUAGACUGUAACUGACGCUGAGGCACGAAAGUGUGGGGAUCAAACAGGAUUAGAUACCCCUGUAGUCCCUGAGCGGGCUGGCAAGGCGCAU